CUUGUGCCUGCGCCAGCUCGAGCGGUAGUACCGGUUCAGAUCGGCGAACAUGGCGGCGAAGCUGUGGUCCUCGUACUCCAAGCUGGCGCAGUCGCCCAGCUGCUGGAAGACCUUGGCCGCCGCGUCGUCAUCGGUGCCCAGGAGGUUGUCGACGACGCCGCGCUUCUGGAGGUGCUCCACGUCCUCGCCCGUCCUAACCCGGGAACCCACCAGCGCCGCGUAGCGCGACACCGGUGGACGUGGCUCUUGGCAGGCGAACUCAUCCUUUUGGUGGUGCCACGCAUCCUGCACUUUGUCCUUCACCUUGGAAAUGCCAGGGAUGUGAGUUACUCGUCUUGGCUCCUUUUUGUUUCGAGCCGGAGCCGGCUGCGCCUUCGAGCUAGUUCCACCACUCCCAGGCUGCGGCACCGGUAGAUCGGCGAACAUGGCGGCGAAGCUAUGGUCCUCGUACUCCAAGCUGGCGCAGUCGCCCAGCUGCUGGAAGAACUUGGCCGCCGCGUCGUCGUCGGUGCCCAGGAGGUUGUCGACGAUGCCGCGCUUCUGAAGGUGCUCCACGUCCUCGCCCGUCCUCACCCGGGAACCCACCAGCGCCGCAUAGCGCGACACCGGUGGACGUGGAUCUUGGCAGGCGAACUCAUCCUUUUGGUGGUGCCACGCAUCCUGCACUUUGCCCUUCACCUUGGAAAUGCCAGGGAUGUGAGUUACUCGUCUUGGCUCCUUUUUGUUUCGAGCCGGUGCCGGCAGCGCCCUCGAGCUAGUUCCACCACUCCCAGGCUGCGGCACCGGUGGACGUGGAUCUUGGUAGGCGAAGUCGCUCCUGCUUUGGGCUUCCCAUCCCGGACUGGGACUGGCUCCUCCUCCUCCUACCAUGGUCAGGCGGCCAAAGGCUGAUGAGAGUACGGAAUCCGUAUAGAAAUGGCAGGCAACUUUAAACCUCAAACAUAUUACAAAUUAAACUCUUCCAUCGAUAUAGCAGCGCUGCUAGCCUAAUUAGAAGUAUAAAAUCACUGCUACUACUGAAAAAUGGAACCGAAAUCGUAGCUAAAUCGAAGAUCUUGUGCACCUAGCUAUAGUUGUUACCUUCUUCAGCAGAGGAGGACGCUUGCCUGUUUUUUGCGUAAAAGGAAAAUGCCAUCAGUUGAUUGUAAUGCUCUCCAGCUUAGACCCGGAUCAAUUGUAGCAGGAGAGUAGUAGUGCUCAACAUGAGCUGAACCCGU
rnacentral:lncRNA from 1 species